GUUUUCCCUCCACCCAAAACACACUCCUUCACUCUCCACUUUUCUCUCUCCCAUUUUUCUGUCUUCUCUCUCCCGUUCAGUCUUCUUUCUCCAUUCAAACCCUAACCGCAUCUGCCCCAUUUCUCUAUCUUAUUUACGGCCACCACCACCUGUAAUGAAAAAACCAAAGUCAUAUUCGUACUCUUCAUCUCAUGGACUUCCUAAUCAACCAAUUGGAAUUUUGUUUCAAACAACUUCGCAGAGACCACCGUUUCUCCAUCUCUAAUCGAUUCGGUAAGAACGAUAACCCUUUCUCCUUCUCCGACCAGCUUACAUUCCUAUUAACAUAACAAGGUUGGGUAUUUCGUCUUUUCAACGGGGAAAGUCAUUAUUGGAGCCGAUUCUCGAACUGGCACUGGUGUAUAUGUUGCAAAUCGUGCAUUUGAUAAAGUCACACAACUUACUGUUAAUGUCUACGUUUUCCGAUCUGGAUCGGUAUUUUUCUUUCUCUAUCUCACACCAUUCAUUUGUUAUGUGGCUAUUAUUACUAUCUUAAAUUUGAUUUCAUGUUUCUCUUAUUUUGAAUCUUUACCUGCAGUAUUCAGUGGAAUUAUGCAUUGACUUUUCAGAUCCCACAAUUUAUUUAGUUCAUAUUAUUUUCAGCAAAAGGGAAUUAUCUGUUUUGUUAACUGAAAAAAUGGCAGAGGAUUGAGCUUUUCGCUGUUUGUUAUGUAAUUGUAAUUCUUUUUGGUUGUUCUUGCCAUGAUAAAUAUGGUUAUCUCAAGAUUUAUUUUGCUAAUAGAUGCAAACCAAUAACAUUAUUCUCUUCAAACUGAACAUUAUAAAUCAUCAAGGUUCAAAAUUGUAGCUUGAGAAACUUUACCGAGAGAGCUCCAUACCUCAAUCUGUUGUAUUUAUUUAUUGAGUAAAUUACUUUAUCUUUUAACAAUAAUUAAGUAAACUAUUUCUUUUUCCAAGCUGCAUAUUCUCAGGUUGUCUCUCACUAUGUCCGCUAUUUCCUCCGUCAACACACAGCCUAUGAGACUGCUACGAGACUAUUGUUGGAUGAGAAGACAAUUCAAAAAAUAGGCCCAAGAUUUGGAGGGUGUAUGAGAGGUAGUCUAAAAGGAAUGAUGAGGUGGCAAAGAGAGAAGUGUGUGAUGGAUGAAUGCCUUUUCUAAUAUAUUAGGAAUAUGGUUGAGGAGAGUGAAUGAAUGCCUUUUGAGGCUUUUUAUUUUCAAUUAGAGUGGUAUUGUUGAGUUUCAGUAGAUUGGAAAUGAUGGUGUUGAUGUUACAGUUCCUGACCAAUUAGUGUUUCUAGAUUCUUUCAUUUGCAAAUGGAUUUACAUCCUUCACUAAUGCACCUUGUCUACUAAAGCUUCAAUGCUAUUGCAAAGUAAGUAUGUUUUUUACAUUGCACUUUUGUUGCUGACAUAGGUUCUUUAUUUAUUCAGUAUCUUAUCUUUGUUCUUUUAUUCUUUUUCAACAACUUUGCAGCCUCGGCUCUUUGUUGGAAUAUGAAUGCAAGAAGGUCCAAUUUCAUUGUUCAAUUAAGAGAAUUGAAUUUGAUUCUUUAAUCAUUAGUAAUCAUAUUCACUGGUCAAAUCUCCUUUUUAUUUUAGAAACUAAUACAUCUUCCAAAUUUUCUAUAUUAUCAUGGAUCCUCAACACUAUUAUUUCAUGAAAUUGUAUGAAACCACAUUAAACAUUGAGUUCUCAAUUCAAGUUACAUCCCUUACCUUUUGAGUGAAAACAUUGAUGCUGGGGUAUGCCAUUGCUGAGAUAUUCUAUCAAGCAUUUAAAACAAGAUAUGGAAAUGGAUUUGGAGGUAUUAUUUGUUUAGGAAUUGUUGCAGUCGCCAUUUUUUCUGUGGCAUGAAAUUGUACAGAAUGGCCUAUGCUUUCUCAAGAGACGGUGCCAUGCCAUUUUCAUCUUUGUGGCAUAAAGUUAACAAGCAGGAUGUUCCUAUAUAUGCAGUUUGGCUUUCUGUUAAUAUAUCAUUUUGCAUGGCCUUAACGGGAUCCAAUAUUAUUGUAUUUGAUCUCUUAAUAAUUUAUUUCAUUCUAACUCAAUUUUAACAAUUUAUAUAAACUACAGUCUCUUGGAAGUAUAGUGGCCUUUGAAGCUAUAUUGUCGGUGUCGCGGUUGGAAUACUGUUGUCUGGGCUUGCUCCCUUGAUCGUCUUGAAUUGCCUUCAAAGUCAUUCCAUCUUUCAAAUUACUCAGAUUCACCUCGCUUAUCAGAAUAUGGUUCGGAUAUUUUCAGCAAGCGGGAAGUUAUAAAGAAACUGCAGCAACAGUUUAAGAGAAGAAACUGCGGCAAAAGUUAUACAAAAACUGCGGCAAGCGGGAUAUUUUAACUCUGUUUUCUUACACAUUUUCAAAUCUUAUACUCAGUACAAUUAACCUUUCUAUAAAACAAAAUAUACAUGUGUAUUGAUUGAUCUCUUAGAAAAGAAUACACAUUUUCUAAUCUUAUACUCAGUACAGUUAACCUAUCCUGAUGCGGUGAAAUUGCAUUUUUUAAUUCAUGCUGUUAUAAUCUUGAAUACUAUAAUCAUGAAUACUACAUUGCAAGAUACA